AGCGAACGCUGGCGGCAGGCCUAACACAUGCAAGUCGAACGAACUCUUCGGAGUUAGUGGCGGACGGGUGAGUAACACGUGGGAACGUGCCUUUUGGUUCGGAAUAACCCAGGGAAAAUUGUGCUAAUACCGAAUGUGCCCUUCGGGGGAAAGAUUUAUCGCCAUUAGAGCGGCCCGCGUCUGAUUAGCUAGUUGGUGAGGUAACGGCUCACCAAGGCGACGAUCAGUAGCUGGUCUGAGAGGAUGACCAGCCACACUGGGACUGAGACACGGCCCAGACUCCUACGGGAGGCAGCAGUGGGGAAUCUUGCGCAAUGGGCGAAAGCCUGACGCAGCCAUGCCGCGUGAAUGAUGAAGGUCUUAGGAUUGUAAAAUUCUUUCACCGGGGACGAUAAUGACGGUACCCGGAGAAGAAGCCCCGGCUAACUUCGUG
rnacentral:rRNA from 1 species